GACGAACGCUGGCGGCGUGCUUAACACAUGCAAGUCGAACGGAAAGGCCCUGCUUGCAGGGUACUCGAGUGGCGAACGGGUGAGUAACACGUGGGUGAUCUGCCCUGCACUUCGGGAUAAGCUUGGGAAACUGGGUCUAAUACCGGAUAGGAGCCAUCUUUAGUGUGGUGGUUGGAAAGUUUUUUCGGUGUAGGAUGAGCUCGCGGCCUAUCAGCUUGUUGGUGGGGUAAUGGCCUACCAAGGCGGCGACGGGUAGCCGGCCUGAGAGGGUGUACGGCCACAUUGGGACUGAGAUACGGCCCAGACUCCUACGGGAGGCAGCAAUGGGGAAUAUUGCACAAUGGGCGCAAGCCUGAUGCAGCGACGCCGCGUGGGGGAUGAAGGCCUUCGGGUUGUAAACUCCUGUCGCUAGGGACGAAGCUUUUUUGUGACGGUACCUAGAGAAGAAGCACCGGCUAACUACGUG
rnacentral:rRNA from 1 species